GACGAACGCUGGCGGCGUGCCUAAUACAUGCAAGUAGAACGCAGUUGCGAACGGGUGAGUAACGCGUAGGUAACUGCCUGGUAGCGGGGGCUAACUAUUGGAAACGAUAGCUAAUACCGCAUACUACCAGAUGGACCUGCGUUGUAUUAGCUAGUUGGUGGGGUAACGGCUCACCACGGCAACGAUACAUAGCCGAGCUGAGAGGGUGAACGGGCAAACUGGGACUGGGAGCCGGCCCAGACGCCUAAGGGAGGCAGGAGGAGGGAAUCUUCGGCAAUGGGGGGAACCCUGACCGAGCAACGCCGCGUGAGUGAAGAAGGGUUUCGGAUCGUAAAGCUCUGUUGUUAAGGAAGCGGUACUUAACCAGAAAGGGACGGCUAACUACGUGCCAGCAGCCGCGGUAAUUC
rnacentral:rRNA from 1 species